UAACAUUUUAUUAAAAGCAUGUUUAAGUUGGCCUUGUAUGAAAAACCUUGAGUUGAUGAAGGGCAUCCUUAACCAAUUUUCUGUUCAAUUUCACUACAGGUAAAAGCUAAAAAUGAUGACAAAGUUGAAAAGCUGUUCCAGAGGUGCCUCAUGAAAGUCUUGCACAUAGAUCUGUGGAAAUGCUAUGUGUCCUAUGUGCGGGAAACCAAAGGGAAACUGCCAAGUUACAAGGAGAAAAUGGCACAGGCGUAUGACUUUGCGCUUGAUAAAAUUGGCAUGGAAAUCAUGUCCUAUCAGAUAUGGGUCGACUACAUUAAUGCAAUGAUGUAACGUUAAAGCUGAAAUCAAACCCAAUGUCGGGUCGUACAGCUGUGUGUGUGGCCAGCUUCACAUGGGUCAGUUCAACUCUAUCAGUCUGCGCUUCUCUUGAUGGCUCCAGUUUUAAGGUUUUACAUUUCUUCCUA